GUUGCCCACCAACCCUCUGCAGUGCGCAUGUGCCCCGCCCCCAGGCCUGGCAAGCAGGUGCCGGGUUCUGAGAACCUGCAGGAACCACCACCUUUCUCUGGGCUUUGGUUCCCCAUCAGCAUUUCCGAAAGCCAGGUCUGGGGCAGUGUGGACGGAAGCUGGAGGGUGGAAGGAAGUGGUGGCAUACUGCAGGAGGAGGAACAGUGGCUGGAUCAAGCAGCACCCUUGGAGACAGGGAGAAGAGGAUGGAGACAGGGAGGCUGGGGGGCAGGUUGGCGGCAGGAACCCAGCUAAAGGGUAGGUUGGAUCUGGCAUCAGUCAAGAAGGC
rnacentral:lncRNA from 1 species